rnacentral:rRNA from 1 species
UACAGGGGGUGCUAGCGUUGUUCGGAAUUACUGGGCGUAAAGGGCGCGUAGGCGGUUUUGUAAGUCAGGAGUGAAAUCCCAGAGCUUAACUCUGGAAUUGCUUUUGAAACUACAAGGCUAGAGUGAGUUAGAGGAUGGCGGAAUUCCUAGUGUAGUGGUGAAAUACGUAGAUAUUAGGAAGAACACCGGCGGCGAAGGCGGCAACCUGGUCCUUGACUGACGCUGAGGCGCGAAAGCGUGGGGAGCAAACAGG